GACGAACGCUGGCGGCGUGCUUAACACAUGCAAGUCGAGCGGUAAGGCCCUUUCGGGGGUACACGAGCGGCGAACGGGUGAGUAACACGUGGGUGACCUGCCCUCAGCUCUGGGAUAAGCCUGGGAAACCGGGUCUAAUACCGGAUAUGACUCCAUGACGCAUGUUGUGGGGUGGAAAGCCUUGUGCGGCUGAGGAUGGGCCCGCGGCCUAUCAGCUUGUUGGUGGGGUGANGGCCUACCAAGGCGACGACGGGUAGCCGGCCUGAGAGGGCGACCGGCCACACUGGGACUGAGACACGGCCCAGACUCCUACGGGAGGCAGCAGUGGGGAAUCUUGCGCAAUGGGCGAAAGCCUGACGCAGCGACGCCGCGUGAGGGAUGACGGCCUCGGUUGUAACGUACUUCUACGCUCCGACGAACGACGACGAGUGACGGUAGGA
rnacentral:rRNA from 1 species